GCUUGGAUGGCUCAGUUGGUUAGAGCGCAGGUCUCAUACUACGUACGGUAUGACCACCUGCUGGUGGGCAAUCCUGAGGUCGUGAGUUCGAUCCUCACUCCGAGCA
rnacentral:tRNA from 1 species